GAACAGAAAGUCAGCAGACUCGAGCGCAGCGGUCAGGUGUCUUCCUGCAGGCAGCCCUCGGGGCGCUGGGGGUGGGCGGCCACCCGCCCUGCCUCCACCCCAGGCUCACCUCCCGGGGCCGGCCCUCCUGGAGGUCCCACGAGAAUGUGCCCGGCCCCCAUCUCGGCCUCUGGUGGCGGACCCCAGGCCAGUGGCUUCUCUGGGGAGAUGAGGUCAUCCAAGAGGAGAAGGAACUCACAGGGAAGAAAAUUUCCACUCCAGCUCUUGAGUUACUGACGUAUGGUCGGGACAAAAUGCAGCCCCGGUGACAGGAUGAGCCAGGACACUACUGCUCCGCAGGCCAGGAGUCGGGUCAGACGGACCCGGGUCCGAAUCCCGGGCCCCUCUUUGUGGCUGGGGGUGCCCCGCCCCACAUGCCCUCGACCCCCAUGGACAGGAUGCAGGAGGUGGAGGCAAAUGUCGGCACCAGCCCUUCGGCUGCCCCGUCCAGCCCAUUUCUCCAAUGUUCUCUCAAGAGUGAUGCUCCACAGGGGACGAAUCUGAAGAGGGAGGCAAGGCUCCGGCUCCUUUGGGAGGACUCGGCCACACAGAUGGCAGUGAAGCCCUCGCUGACUUGACGUCGUUGCUCCUGUAAAGCCAGCUGAGAACGGCACGCGGCUGUCCUCAUGUCCUUGACUUAGGCCAGGCAUGCGGAGGACGUGCACACGGGCAUGGCCGGCCGGGAGACGCCUCCUCGCCCUACCGAGAAGGCCGCCUUGCCCCAUCCCUUCUGCUAUAGCAGGAGGAGUGGGCCGCCGUGGGGCUCCCCCAACACCCUGAGCGGCGACGGGGGCCCCGUGAUGUAACAGGCAAAGCUGGCGCAGGAGACGAAAGGCCUGGCUGCCUGUGUCUGUCACUACAGCACGCGUUGCCCUCCGAGCCCUUCAGUGAGAGCUACGUCUGUGUUCCCCUUCCACGUGGAAAGGACGGUCCACACGCGUCACGCUGCAGGAAAAUCACCCCAUGUCUGUUCUGCGGGGUCAUUAUCUAAGCUUCACCGCGCCCCGGAGGGCAGGUGCGGCCUGGCCUCUCAGCCCUCGCUAUGGCCGGAGGUCCAGAGCGCUGCGGACAGCGGCCCGAGGUUACCCAGCAGGUCCCAGGGGCCAGGCCUGGUGGGGCUCCCCUGUGGACCUCGCUCCGCUUCUCUGUGUCAGCAAGACCCUCGGCCUGCCUCAUGCACUCAGCACCGAAUUGUGCAGCUGGGAGUGGGACCCUAACUCAGCCCCCAUUGCUGCGAGGGGUGUUCCCGUUGCUGUUGUGGCUGCUUCUUCCCACCCCACCCCCACUCUAGCCCCACCACCCCGGGUCAAGGUGGCUGCUUGGGAGAGACUAGGGUCCUGCAGGCUUUCCCCACUCGACCUGCACCAACGUCACAGCCCCCUCCCCACCUUCCAAAAGGGACUCAGCAUGCAUAACCCCCACAUUUGCACGUCUACGUUCUGGGUUCUAGCAAUCAUUUCGUUCCUCUGGAGUCAGAAUAAAAGCUCCCCAGGAAGCACCCCCGACAGCGCAGCGGUCGUGUGUCCUUCUCCCGCCUGCAUGGGAGGCUGACCCCGGGCUCCUGGGCUGAUCCUGAGGAUUCCAAAGGGUGCAGGCUGGGCCGG